rnacentral:rRNA from 1 species
UACGGAGGGUGCAAGCGUUAUCCGGAUUCACUGGGUUUAAAGGGUGCGUAGGUGGGUUGGUAAGUCAGUGGUGAAAUCUCCAGGCUUAACUUGGAAACUGCCAUUGAUACUAUCAAUCUUGAAUACCGUGGAGGUCAGCGGAAUAUGUCAUGUAGCGGUGAAAUGCUUAGAUAUGACAUAGAACACCAAUUGCGAAGGCAGCUGGCGUACACGAAUAUUGACACUGAUGCACGAAAGCGUGGGAGUCAA